GGGUUGUGAGGUUAAGCGACUAAGCGUACACGGUGGAUGCCCUGGCAGUCAGAGGCGAUGAAGGACGUGCUAAUCUGCGAUAAGCGUCGGUAAGGUGAUAUGAACCGUUAUAACCGGCGAUUUCCGAAUGGGGAAACCCAGUGUGAUUCGUCACACUAUCAUUAACUGAAUCCAUAGGUUAAUGAGGCGAACCGGGGGAACUGAAACAUCUAAGUACCCCGAGGAAAAGAAAUCAACCGAGAUUCCCCCAGUAGCGGCGAGCGAACGGGGAGCAGCCCAGAGCCUGAAUCAGUGUGUGUGUUAGUGGAAGCGUCUGGAAAGGCGCGCGAUACAGGGUGACAGCCCCGUACACAAAAAUGCACAUGCUGUGAGCUCGAUGAGUAGGGCGGGACACGUGGUAUCCUGUCUGAAUAUGGGGGGACCAUCCUCCAAGGCUAAAUACUCCUGACUGACCGAUAGUGAACCAGUACCGUGAGGGAAAGGCGAAAAGAACCCCGGCGAGGGGAGUGAAAAAGAACCUGAAACCGUGUACGUACAAGCAGUGGGAGCACGCUUAGGCGUGUGACUGCGUACCUUUUGUAUAAUGGGUCAGCGACUUAUAUUCUGUAGCAAGGUUAACCGAAUAGGGGAGCCGAAGGGAAACCGAGUCUUAACUGGGCGUUAAGUUGCAGGGUAUAGACCCGAAACCCGGUGAUCUAGCCAUGGGCAGGUUGAAGGUUGGGUAACACUAACUGGAGGACCGAACCGACUAAUGUUGAAAAAUUAGCGGAUGACUUGUGGCUGGGGGUGAAAGGCCAAUCAAACCGGGAGAUAGCUGGUUCUCCCCGAAAGCUAUUUAGGUAGCGCCUCGUGAAUUCAUCUCCGGGGGUAGAGCACUGUUUCGGCAAGGGGGUCAUCCCGACUUACCAACCCGAUGCAAACUACGAAUACCGGAGAAUGUUAUCACGGGAGACACACGGCGGGUGCUAACGUCCGUCGUGAAGAGGGAAACAACCCAGACCGCCAGCUAAGGUCCCAAAGUCAUGGUUAAGUGGGAAACGAUGUGGGAAGGCCCAGACAGCCAGGAUGUUGGCUUAGAAGCAGCCAUCAUUUAAAGAAAGCGUAAUAGCUCACUGGUCGAGUCGGCCUGCGCGGAAGAUGUAACGGGGCUAAACCAUGCACCGAAGCUGCGGCAGCGACGCUGAUGCGUUGUUGGGUAGGGGAGCGUUCUGUAAGCCUGCGAAGGUGUGCUGUGAGGCAUGCUGGAGGUAUCAGAAGUGCGAAUGCUGACAUAAGUAACGAUAAAGCGGGUGAAAAGCCCGCUCGCCGGAAGACCAAGGGUUCCUGUCCAACGUUAAUCGGGGCAGGGUGAGUCGACCCCUAAGGCGAGGCCGAAAGGCGUAGUCGAUGGGAAACAGGUUAAUAUUCCUGUACUUGGUGUUACUGCGAAGGGGGGACGGAGAAGGCUAUGUUGGCCGGGCGACGGUUGUCCCGGUUUAAGCGUGUAGGCUGGUUUUCCAGGCAAAUCCGGAAAAUCAAGGCUGAGGCGUGAUGACGAGGCACUACGGUGCUGAAGCAACAAAUGCCCUGCUUCCAGGAAAAGCCUCUAAGCAUCAGGUAACAUCAAAUCGUACCCCAAACCGACACAGGUGGUCAGGUAGAGAAUACCAAGGCGCUUGAGAGAACUCGGGUGAAGGAACUAGGCAAAAUGGUGCCGUAACUUCGGGAGAAGGCACGCUGAUAUGUAGGUGAAGUCCCUCGCGGAUGGAGCUGAAAUCAGUCGAAGAUACCAGCUGGCUGCAACUGUUUAUUAAAAACACAGCACUGUGCAAACACGAAAGUGGACGUAUACGGUGUGACGCCUGCCCGGUGCCGGAAGGUUAAUUGAUGGGGUUAGCGCAAGCGAAGCUCUUGAUCGAAGCCCCGGUAAACGGCGGCCGUAACUAUAACGGUCCUAAGGUAGCGAAAUUCCUUGUCGGGUAAGUUCCGACCUGCACGAAUGGCGUAAUGAUGGCCAGGCUGUCUCCACCCGAGACUCAGUGAAAUUGAACUCGCUGUGAAGAUGCAGUGUACCCGCGGCAAGACGGAAAGACCCCGUGAACCUUUACUAUAGCUUGACACUGAACAUUGAGCCUUGAUGUGUAGGAUAGGUGGGAGGCUUUGAAGUGUGGACGCCAGUCUGCAUGGAGCCGACCUUGAAAUACCACCCUUUAAUGUUUGAUGUUCUAACGUGGACCCGUAAUCCGGGUUGCGGACAGUGUCUGGUGGGUAGUUUGACUGGGGCGGUCUCCUCCUAAAGAGUAACGGAGGAGCACGAAGGUUGGCUAAUCCUGGUCGGACAUCAGGAGGUUAGUGCAAUGGCAUAAGCCAGCUUGACUGCGAGCGUGACGGCGCGAGCAGGUGCGAAAGCAGGUCAUAGUGAUCCGGUGGUUCUGAAUGGAAGGGCCAUCGCUCAACGGAUAAAAGGUACUCCGGGGAUAACAGGCUGAUACCGCCCAAGAGUUCAUAUCGACGGCGGUGUUUGGCACCUCGAUGUCGGCUCAUCACAUCCUGGGGCUGAAGUAGGUCCCAAGGGUAUGGCUGUUCGCCAUUUAAAGUGGUACGCGAGCUGGGUUUAGAACGUCGUGAGACAGUUCGGUCCCUAUCUGCCGUGGGCGCUGGAGAACUGAGGGGGGCUGCUCCUAGUACGAGAGGACCGGAGUGGACGCAUCACUGGUGUUCGGGUUGUCAUGCCAAUGGCACUGCCCGGUAGCUAAAUGCGGAAGAGAUAAGUGCUGAAAGCAUCUAAGCACGAAACUUGCCCCGAGAUGAGUUCUCCCUGACUCCUUGAGAGUCCUGAAGGAACGUUGAAGACGACGACGUUGAUAGGCCGGGUGUGUAAGCGCAGCGAUGCGUUGAGCUAACCGGUACUAAUGAACCGUGAGGCUUAACCUUACAACGCCGAAG
rnacentral:rRNA from 1 species